UCACCUGGGAGCUGCAUACUAAACUGUUUAACUAGAGUAUUGCAGGGGGAGACGGAAUUCCAGGUGUAGCGGUGGAAUGCGUAAAUAUCUGGAAAAACACCAAAGGCGAAGGCAGUCUCCUGGGCAAAUACUGACGCUCAUAUGCGAAAGCGUGGGUAGCAAACAGGAUUAGAUACCCUGGUAGUCCACGCCGUAAACGAUGUCAAUUAGGAGCUUGUGCGAUAGUAUGGGUUCCGCAGCAAACGCGAUAAAUUGACCGCCUGGGGAGUACGGCCGCAAGGUUAAAACUCAAAUGAAUUGACGGGGGCCCGCACAAGCGGUGGAGCAUGUGGUUUAAUUCGACGCAACGCGAAGAACCUUACCUGACCUUGACAUAGUGAGAACCUCUCUGAAGGGAGAGGGUGCCUUCGGGAGCUCACAUACAGGUGCUGCAUGGCUGUCGUCAGCUCGUGUCGUGAGAUGUUGGGUUAAGUCCCGCAACGAGCGCAACCCUUGUCCUUUGUUGCCAGCGGGUAAAGCCGGGAACUCAAAGGAGACUGCCAGUGACAAACUGGAGGAAGGCAGGGAUGACGUCAAGUCAUCAUGGCCCUUACGGUCAGGGCUACACACGUGCUACAAUGGGGCGUACAGAGGGAAACGAUACCGCGAGGUGGAGUGGAACCCACAAAGCGUCCCUAAGUUCGGAUUGGAGUCUGCAACUCGACUCCAUGAAGUCGGAAUCACUAGUAAUCGCAAAUCAGAAUGUUGCGGUGAAUACGUUCCCCGGGCCUUGUACACACCGCCCGUCACACCAUGGGAGUGGAUUGCACCACAGUAGCUAGCUUAACACCAUGAGGCGGUACUCAACGGGUGUUAAGGGG
rnacentral:rRNA from 1 species